rnacentral:rRNA from 1 species
UGGGGAAUUUUGGACAAUGGGGGAAACCCUGAUCCAGCCAUCCCGCGUGUGCGAUGAAGGCCUUCGGGUUGUAAAGCACUUUUGGCAGGAAAGAAACGUCAUGGGUUAAUACCCCGUGAAACUGACGGUACCUGCAGAAUAAGCACCGGCUAACUACGUGCCAGCAGCCGCGGUAAUACGUAGGGUGCAAGCGUUAAUCGGAAUUACUGGGCGUAAAGCGUGCGCAGGCGGUUCGGAAAGAAAGAUGUGAAAUCCCAGAGCUCAACCUUAGAACUGCAUUUUUAACUACCGGGCUAGAGUGUGUCAGAGGGAGGUGGAAUUCCGCGUGUAGCAGUGAAAUGCGUAGAUAUGCGGAGGAACACCGAUGGCGAAGGCAGCCUCCUGGGAUAACACUGACGCUCAUGCACGAAAGCGUGGGGAGCAAACAGG